UUUGUUCAUUUCACACACCAAGAAAUAGAGCAACUUUCAGUGAGGAGCUUGGUGUGAGAAAACACAUGUGCAGGAUGGAAUAAUCUUUGUGGAAGAGGAGGCAAAGCUAUUCAGAGAUACCCACCAAGGCAGAAUAUGGCCACUUGGAAGUAAGCAUACCUUUCCUAAAGGAUCUAAUGGCUACUGGAUUAGGCAGCUUUCGUUCAUGAAGAUACGGUGAAAAGGAGUAAGGAGAAGUUUGGGAGAGUCAGCCGGUCCAUGGAACUUGUAAUGACUCAGCGCUGAUCUAUGCCAGAUGUAAAACCCCUGCUGUCAUUGGUGAGGCUACCACUGCUAUUGAAAAUAUGUGUACGUCCUGUAGAUCAAGUAAGGUUCCAGUCUAAGUCAAAGUGGAUAUAUGCAGAGGAACAGAAGUUGAAGAGGAGGAAAACAGCAGCCUCCACUGCUGUUGACCUUUACUUGGCACACUCUCCCGAAGAAUAUGUUUGAUUUCUGCCAGUUUUUGAAAUUGAACUUUGGUGCCUUUUGAGACUCUUGCCUUUUUAAUGGCUUGCCUCAUGAUUGGAAGGAUUGGAGUGUAUUUUCUGAUUGAUUGAUUUAUUGGUGAGGUAAUGAACAUUGUAACAAUAUAUUGUACAUUUUUACAGGCUUGCUAAUAUUUCCCAAAGGCUUGCACAUUGUUUUCUGAGAUACUACUCUAAAAUGUCGCUAUAUGACUCAUUACAUCACUCAAUUCUAUGGUGUAUACACUGAAUAAGAUCUAAGAUCAUAGCUACUAAGUUACUGCAAGGACUUAAUCAUAAUUUUGCAACGUGUAAUGGUUACGGCAAGCAGAUACUGUAUUUUCAUCACUCAUACACAAGUAUUGACAUGAACUUGAAAGCAUACAAGAUUUGUUGGAGUAAUUAAUUAACUAACUCAAAUAUUGGUAUUUUAUAGAUCAUAUAAAGGUGUUAUUAGUGCUAUCGUGCAAAUUAAUAUAUUUUUUUCCUUCUGCGUAUAAACACAAUGUGGCUA